ACGAAGGAUGCAAGCGUUAUCCGGAUUCAUUGGGUUUAAAGGGAGCGUAGGUGGGUUUGUAAGUCAGUGGUGAAAGCCGGUCGCUUAACGAUCGAAUUGCCAUUGAUACUGCAGACCUUGAGUACAGAUGCUGUGGGCGGAAUAUGACAUGUAGUGGUGAAAUACAUAGAGAUGUCAUAGAACACCGAUUGCGAAGGCAGCUCACAAAACUGUAACUGACACUGAGGCUCGAAAGUGCGGGGAUCAAACAGGAUUAGAUACCCUGGUAGUCCGCACUGUAAACGAUGAUUACUCGCUGCUGGGAGGUAACUUUCAGUGGCUUAGCGAAAGCGAUAAGUAAUCCACCUGGGGAGUACGCCGGCAACGGUG
rnacentral:rRNA from 1 species